GCCGGAGUGGCGGAAUGGCAGACGCAGAGGACUUAAAAUCCUUUGGCCGAUGGCCGUGCGGGUUCAAGUCCCGCCUUCGGCACCA
rnacentral:tRNA from 1 species